rnacentral:rRNA from 1 species
AUUGAACGCUGGCGGCAGGCCUAACACAUGCAAGUCGAGCGAGCGGCGGACGGGUGAGGAAUGUCUGGGAAACUGCCUGUUGGAGGGGGAUAACGACUGGAAACGGUAGCUAAUACCGCAUACCAUCAAGUGUGCCCAGGUGGGAUUAGCUAGUAGGUGGGGUAACGGCUAACCUAGGCGACGGUCCCUAGCUGGUCUGGGAGGAUGAUCAGCCACACUGGAACUGAGACACGGUCCAGACUCCUACGGGAGGCAGCAGUGGGGAAUAUUGUACAAUGGGCGAAAGCCUGAUGCAGCCAUGCCGCGUGUGUGAAGAAGGCCUUCGGAUUGUAAAGCACUUUCAGCUGGGAGGCGUUACCCACAGAAGAAGCACCGGCUAACUCCGUGCCAGCCGCCGCGGUAAUAC